AUUGAACGCUGGCGGCAUGCCUUACACAUGCAAGCCGAACGGUAACAGGUCUUCGGAUGCUGACGAGUGGCGAACGGGUGAGUAAUACAUCGGAACGUGCCUAGUAGUGGGGGAUAACUACUCGAAAGAGUGGCUAAUACCGCAUGAGAUCUACGGAUGAAAGCAGGGGAUCGCAAGGCCUUGUGCUACUAGAGCGGCCGAUGGCAGAUUAGGUAGUGGGUGGGAUAAAAGCUUACCAAGCCGACGAUCUGUAGCUGGUCUGAGAGGACGAUCAGCCCCACUGGGACUGAGACACGGCCCAGACUCCUACUGGAGGCAGCAGUGGGGGAUUUUGGACAAUGGGCGCAAGCCUGAUCCAGCAAUGCCGCGUGCAGGAUGAAGGCCUUCGGGUUGUAAACUGCUUUUGUACGGAACGAAAAGCCCUGGGUUAAUACCCUGGGGUCAUGACGGUACCGUAAGAAUAAGCACCGGCUAACUACGUGCCAGCAGCCGCCGUAAAAC
rnacentral:rRNA from 1 species